UACGGAGGGGGCUAGCGUUGUUCGGAAUUACUGGGCGUAAAGCGCACGUAGGCGGAUUGUUAAGUCGGGGGUGAAAUCCCGGGGCUCAACCCCGGAAUUGCCUCUGAGACUGGCAGUCUUGAGGUCGGGAGAGGUGAGCGGAAUGGCGAGUGUAGAGGUGAAAUUCGUAGAUAUUCGGCGGAACACCAGUGGCGAAGGCGGCGCACUGGCCCGGUACUGACGCUGAGGUGCGAAAGCGUGGGGAGCAAACGGG
rnacentral:rRNA from 1 species